AAGUCGUAACAAGGUUUCCGUAGGUGAACCUGCGGAAGGAUCAUUACAAAUCAUCUGAGGUUUAAAAAUGAGGUAAAAGAAAAAGAAAAAGGGGGAGAGGGAGAAGAAAUUAUUUUUCUCCUCUUUUUUCUCUACUUUCCUCUUUUAUACCAAAAGUGCUCAGGUUCUAUUUUCCAAUAGAUCCUGUAGACAUUUACGCUUGUUAGUGUUUGACCGAGUUUUUUUUGGUAAAAAGAAAGAUAUUGACAACUUUUAACAAUGGAUCUCUUGGCUCUU
rnacentral:misc_RNA from 1 species